CCUUACCUGGCCUUGACAUACUAAGAACUUUCCAGAGAUGGAUUGGUGCCUUCGGGAACUUAGAUACAGGUGCUGCAUGGCUGUCGUCAGCUCGUGCCGUGAGAUGUUGGGUUAAGUCCCGCAACGAGCGCAACCCUUUUCCUUAUUUGCCAGCGGGUUAAGCCGGGAACUUUAAGGAUACUGCCAGUGACAAACUGGAGGAAGGCGGGGACGACGUCAAGUCAUCAUGGCCCUUACGGCCAGGGCUACACACGUGCUACAAUGGUCGGUACAAAGGGUUGCUACCUCGCGAGAGGAUGCUAAUCUCAAAAAGCCGAUCGUAGUCCGGAUCGCAGUCUGCAACUCGACUGCGUGAAGUCGGAAUCGCUAGUAAUCGCGGAUCAGAAUGCCGCGGUGAAUACGUUCCCGGGCCUUGUACACACCGCCCGUCACACCAUGGGAGUUUGUUGCACCAGAAGUAGGUAGUCUAACCGCAAGGAGGACGCUUACCACGGUGUGGCCGAUGACUGGGGUGAAGUCGUAACAAGGUAAGCGUAGAUGA
rnacentral:rRNA from 1 species